rnacentral:pre_miRNA from 1 species
AGUGGGAUAGCUGGGUUAAAUGGCAGUUCCAUUUCAGGUUUUCCAAGUAAUCUCCAUACUGCUUUCCAGAUUGGCUGUACCAAUUUGCAGUCCCACCAGCAAU